rnacentral:lncRNA from 1 species
AAAGGCUUAAAACAAUCAUAUUUUGAAUGGGAAAAGGCCUCCUAGGUGCGGCAGGUAAGGGAUAGGGUGGAUAAGGCUUCUAGAAAGCCUUGCAAGGCAAGGAAAACAAGUUCUAGAAAGGGGAUAGGUGCGGCACCUUAUGUGUGCAGGGAUAGGGCUUCUAGAAAUCUAAUAUUAAGCAUUCUAAUCUAGUUAGGAACCCCACUUUGCAGCUAAAAUAUCAAUGAAUUCAGAUUUGGAUAAGAUAGGAUAGGAUAAGGUUUGUUUGGAUAAGAUAAGCUAAGAUAAAGUUAUGGAUGAUGUUUUGGAUAAGAUUUCUUCACUUGAGCUGAUUUUUUGACUUUAAUUCUCCUUCGUCAAGUAGGAAACCUUGCUUGAGUCGAAAUCCUCAUCCUUCUAGGAAUCCAUCUUUGACUACGAUUUGAUGUGGAAAUUAACUAGCACUCAAAUUAACCCUCUUUUUAUCAAUUGUAGUAAGUAUGUAAGUAGGGAUCGUUCUAGGCCGGGGAUUAGGAGGGAUUGCAAAAUCACUUGAAAACUGACUCAAAUACGUAAAAACAAGUUUAAAACACUAAACUAGACUCAAAGAAUGCAAAACUAAACUUUAAAACACUAAAACAAAUCAAAAGACUCAAAACUGCCCCAAAACACUCAAAACUGCCUUAAAAACACAAUCUGGGUAGUUUUGAACACUAGACACAAACUUGGACGAAAUUGGUUUUAGCUUGACCUAAGACACUUAAAACACACAAACUAACUUGACUUCUAACUAAUAUGACUCAACAAAGAAAAGGGGGAUUGAUUUUGGACGAAUUUGAAAACAAAACAAAACUUUGUAAAACGAACAGAUUUUAAAACGAAUUUGAUUUAAAUGAAUGGAUGGAAGGCUAGCUAAGGGGUUCAUCUCCACACAUGUUACACUUGCAUACAAAACGAUUCCCAAUUGCUUUUCAAUAAACCAUGAAUUCUCAACGCCCCAAGUUAAUUAGGUCCGCUUAAAUUAACCUUCAGAUUUUCCUAACGUUAUUGAAUUGGAUGAUUGCAUACGACAACCCAAAGCAUUCCCCAC